rnacentral:lncRNA from 1 species
UCUCCGUCUCCGCCAACCAGUACUGGGCAUCUUCAAAAGAUGAUUCCCCUACAAAAGUAGAUGGGUUCAGUUUCCUGUACCUUUCUACGUAGCCUGGGUCAAUCAUGGAAGGAGUUGGGUCCCGCGGAAGAGGGACUGGGGCAGGCUGAGGAUUGACUAGGGGGCCCUGUGGUGGUACUUGCUGAUAUGGUGGGGGCACUAGAUUAUAUUGUAGCGGUACCGAGCAGUACUGUGGGUGGGGCACUGGAUUAUACUGCGGCUGUGGCACUGAGUGGUACGGUGGAAGAGCAGGCUCAUACCGAGGUGGCUCGGGAUCCUCUCGCUGUAGUGGUGGCUCAACCUGUGGCUGUGGAGGAGGAUCGGGUAGCUCCCUUCUCUCCUCUCAACCCUGCUGGACAGCAAUGAGUCUCUUUACAUCUCAAAUAUCCUGUCAAUGUCUUCCCGAAGUGAACCAUCCCGGACUGCUCGGUUUGGUGGGGGUCUUCCUCUUCUCAUCUCUCUGUACCUGCAUUUCACAAGGAAUGGUUGAGUAAUGAUUUAUUGGCUUGGUGUUCCUCUAAGUAUCACUGUAUAAAGGACGAGUCCAAGGAACGUGGCUCUAAUACCAACUGUAACGACCCCGAAAAUUUAAAAGGAAAUACAUAUAAUAAUAUGAGUGCGCAAGCGAAAUAAAAGAUUAAGGUUAAUAUCCCUUACACAAUAACUUAAAAGUACUAAACAAUAUCACAGAAUAAGUUCUCUAAAAGAAAUACGAGAAAUGAAAAAAAUAAAGGAAACUAUAAAGUAUCUAGCAUCUACUCGCCAUCUUCUUGUGGAUCGGACUCGGGAACCAGAUCCUCCUGAUCUGAAAUGGUUAAAUAAGGAAUGAACUACACUAGUCCAGUGAGAACAUCACAUUAUAUUACCGUCAUAGAAGCAAAGGUAGGUAGCAAACCAAAAACAACCAAUGGAGCACAAAUUUUAAACCAAUAUAGUUAUUUAAAAUAAAACCACUUAUCAUUUUUCUUACACUUGGAGAACUUGUGAAAGCAACUUAUAAAGACAAUAACAUCAUACAGAUCACAAUUUCAUGGAUAAUCAGUAACAUAAAACACAUCAUAAGCCCAUAUUCAUUAACCAUAAUUGACUAUCAUCAUUUCUCGUUUUUCACCAGCCCGCUAGUAUCCAUGGGGAUCCAUAGGGGUCCCCACUACACGUGAACCAUUCCCUUUAAAACAAUCUUAGUUCCAGGGCUGUUCUCAUACCCCGUUCGGUAUAAGCGCCAAAAUAAUAAACCUCAAUAUCCCGUCCAGUAUGAGGGUGAAGCAGGCCGUCCCCAUACUCCGUCCGGUAUGAGUGCCGAAUGACCAAGUCUCCAUACCCUGUCCGGUAUGAGAUAACGUUCACGGUAGGGUUUCCUAUGAACUCGGUCCGUCCACCAUCUCCUAAGAUAUCUAGUGAGGCUGUCAUCUUAUCUAUUUAUCAUAUCACAUCCCAUUCCUAUUUGUCCUUAGUCUCUGUUACCAACUCAAACAUAAAUACAUAAACAAGUAACGUGCAUCCAACAAAGCAAGCAUAUUUUAGAUUCCCAAAAUCAAACAAUAGUGAAGUAAGCAGUAAUUCAUGCAUUUAAAACCAUAAAAUAAAUAAACCAGAUAUCAUAAUGUAUUUAAACUGUAAAAUAAAUCAAACAGGAAUCGACAGGGAAUAAUGUCCGAUUUUGGGCUCCAUUAGUAACCUUAAUUAAUUGUGCAUAUCUAUUAAUUGCACUAAAUACGGUAUUACCAUUUAUUCAAACUUUAAUUCCAUGACAGGAAAUAAAGUGAGAGGUUCUUACUUGAUUUGACAUCGAAAACUAAAUUUUCAUUGCACCUACAGGCGGUCUCUAGGUUUUUUGAAUUUUUUUCGGGAACUGAAACGCGCUUACGGUACUUACACAAGUCCCAAAUAACCCAAAAAUCAGACCCAGCGCCUACUCGGCCAAUUUCGAAAUUCUGGCACAGCGACUUCUCCGUGCUCCGUCGACGGCGUUGCCGCGAUUCGCCUCGGGUUGGCUGUUUUCGGCAAAAUUCAGCCAAACUUGCAUCGGUUCCUGUGAGAAAACACACUUAGAGCCUUCGGUGGGCCAAAAAAUAGAAAAAAUCGAAACUUACCGGCGGUGGGGGAUCUUCGGUGCAGCAGCUCCUCCGACUCACGUCACGGUUGGGUGUUUUGCUCCGGUCAACCUGUAGAAGAGGAAACGGUGAUUAUAUCGGUGAAAAAAUCACAUCGAACGGGAAUCAAGAAGGGCUUCAUUGGAGGCAAAAACUGAGACAUCCCGCCGCGGCGCCGCCGUUGAGCUUCGAAUGCAUUUUCCGGCCAAUUGGCCAGUGUUUUCACUCCAAUUUGGCCAUAGUUGGGUUUAGAAUCAAAAUUUGAGCAAAUGGUUGAAUUUUUACCUCGUUUGACGGCCGAAAAUUACUCCAGUAUGACGGCGGGUGGCGACGGUCAGUUCCCCAGCAGCUGGGCUGUCUUCUCUGGUGAGGGGCUUUGGCGGCUAGGGUUAGGGUUUGGGUGCCGAUGAGUGAUUUAUACCCAUUCGGUUUUGAUCUGAGUCAUCCAUCGCUUUUAAUUUGGAUCGUCCGAUCGCGAUUAAAUAGGAAAUGAAUCUGGACCGUUCAUCGUGAUUCAAUCUGGGCCAUCCGUGCGCGAUGCAAUCUGGGCCGUCUCUGCGCGUUUUUGAUCUGGGUCGUCCCUGCGCGCGAUAACGGAUCUCAGCUGUUGAUCACGCGCACGCGGAUCGCCCACGUGGCUCCCUCCUACGUGGCCUCCCGCGUCAGCGUCUUAGCCACCUGGCGCAUCCUUGUCGGUUGGGGCUGCUAACCGAGCAGCUGACGUAGCACAACUUUUUUAAAUUACGUUUUGACCUCCAAUUUUUGAUUUUUCUAUCAAAAAUACCCCUAGAGCCCAAAUUUUCACCAAUUUUCCCCAAAAUUAUUUUCAAUUAAAUCCCUAAAUAAUUUUUACCCUUUAUUAUUAUUAUUAUUAUUAUUAUUAUUAUUUUCAUUAAAAUAAAUUAAAUUAAAUUAAAUUCUAUUAACACUAAAUUAUAUUUAUAUAGAAUAAAUUAAAUUAAAAUAAUAUAAUAUAAUAUAAUAAUAAUAAAAAUGAAAAGAAAUUUUUGGGUGUUACAAUGGCAGUUAGGGUUCAAGUUCCUGUGUGAUGCGAAAUAUUUAUAACCAUCCUGCGUUGAUGUGGACCGUCCAUCGCAAUCGAUCUCGUCCGUCCAAUUGCGCCUAAAAAAUAAACGAAUCUAGAUCGUUCAUCGCGAUUGAUCUCAACCAUCCAAUCGCGCCUAAGGGAGAAACGAAUAUGGACUGUCCACGCGUGCAGGAUCGAUCCUGGGUUGUCCGAUCGUAGGGCACGCAGAUCGCUAUCUGUUUCUAAUUUUUCUUUCAAAAACAUCCACAUAACCCAAAUUUUCACAUUUUUUUUCCAAAAUUAUUUUCAAUCUCGUCACUAAUUUAUUUUUUCUCAAAAUUCUACUUAAAUAAAACUAAAAUAAAAUAAAAUAAUUAAUUAUUUUAAACUGCUAAUUAAAGGAUAAAAAAUUUGUCUUGGGUCCGAGUAUUACAACUCUCUCCCCUUAAGAAAAUUUGGUCCCUCAAAUUAGUCACUCUCUCACUCAGUCGAGCAGCUGGUUGGAACUGGGCCCUGAAGCUUGAUUCCAGUUCCCAAGUGGCAUCUUCCUGCGUAUGGUUCUGCCAUAGGAUCUUAAUGAAUAGAAUUUUUCGAUUGCACUACUCUUUAGGUCUACAAUCCCUACCGGUACCUUUUCAUAUGAUAGAUCAUACUCGAGUAAAAAGGCUUCAUGGGAUAGGAUGUGUGAGGGGUCCUGGUUGUACUUGCUUAGUAUAGAUACGUGAAACACAUAAUGAACUCUGGAUAGCUCUAAAGGUAAUACUAGUCUGCACGCGGUCAUACCAAUCUGUUCUAAGAUCUCAAAUGAUCCGAUGAAUCGGGGAUUUAAUUUUUCCCUAUUGCCAAACCUAUUGAUCCUUUUGAAAGAAGUGAACUUGAGAAAUACUCGAUCACCUUUCUCAAAUUUCAAAUCCCUCCUCCGGAGGUCUGCAUAACUUUUCUGUUUGCCCUGAGCUGUCUGGAUAUUCUUCUUAAUCUUAAUUAUCUUGAUUAUAGUCUCCUCCACAAAAUUUGGACUGAAUAAUUUUCUAUCACCCACAUCUUCUCAACAAAUCGAUGAUUUGCAUGGGCAGCUAUACAAUGCCUUGUAAGGAGCCAUACCGAUACUUGUCUGAUAACUGUUAUUGUAGACGAACUCUAUUAGAGAUAGGUGAUCAUCCCAAUGGCCUCUCAAAUCUAGAACACAACCUUGGAGUAUAUCCUCUAAUGUGCGAAUCGUACUAUCUGACUGUCCAUCGGUUUGAGGGUGGAAUGCAAUGCUCAGGGAUAGUUUCGUUCUCAUAUCUUGCUGAAAACUAGACUAAAAUCGAAAAGUGAACCUGAGGUCUCUGUCGAAUGCCACUGACACUAAAACUCCAUGUAACUUGACUAUCUCUCGGACAUAUAUUCUUGUUACCUUAUUCAAUGAGUCGGUCAUCUUGUUAGCCAAAAAGUGAGAAUACUUAGUGAGCCGGUCGACAAUUAACCCAAUGGCAUCAUAUCCUGAGUGUGCCUUACGCAACCCUAUUACGAAAUCCAUUGUGAUAUGUUCCCACUUCCAGUCUGAAAUUGGUAAUGGCUGAAAUAACCCGCUCGGGCGUUGAUAAUCUGUCUUAACCUGUUGGCAUGCUAGACACUUGGAAACAAAGUCAUCUACUUUGAUACAUUUUAGUACUUCCGGAAUGUAUUGCGAAUUAGGAGAGCCUUUGUCAUAAUGUACGUUUUUAGUUCGUUGUCAUCUGAAAUACACACUUUGUCCUAAAACUUGAGCAAUCCAUCAGCAGAGACUCGAAAUUCUGGAUGUACUCCCUAUUUUGCAUCUUUCUUGAGGGCGGCUAUGAUGGAAUCGAUUAAUUAGCUUUCUCUUAUUCUCUAGAUCAAUUCGAGUUGGAUAGUAAGGUGGCCAAACAUGCAACUCUCUUUUAAGUGCUGAAGUCGUAUCUGUUGUGCCCUUAUUACCCUGCAUUCAGAAACCAUUAUAUGAGCUAACAUAACUGCACUUUUUCUGCUGAGCGCGUGAGCUACUACAUUGCCCUUAUCUGGAUGAUAUAAGAUAUUACAAUCAUAAUUCUUGAAGAGUUCUAUCAAACGCUUCUGACACAUGUUCAGAUCAUUCUGAGUAAAUAUGUGCUUCAAGCUCUUAUGGUCAGUAAAAAUCUCCCUAUACAGGUAGUGGUGCCAGAUCUUCAAGGCGUGGAUAAUGGUGGCAACUUUUAAGUCGUGGAUAGGAUAAUUUUUCUCAUAACUCUUUAACUGCCUGGACCAUAAGCUUUAACUUUACCAUGUUGUAUCAGAACACAACCCAACCCUAGGUAGAAGGCAUUACUGUACACUAUAUAUCCACAUGUCUCAUACGGUAAUGCCAACACGAGUGCAGUGGUCAAUCACUUCUUAAGUUUUGUAAAGCUCUUUUCGUAUUCUACGUUCCGUUCAAACUUAACGUUCUUUUUUGUGAAUCGGGUCAAUGGAACGCUUAGAUUAAAAAAUCCUUCUACAAACAUGCGGUAAUAACCUAUCAUUUCUAGAAAAUUACGAAUCUCUUUAACUGAUGUCAAUUUCUCACAUUCAAGUAUUGUCUCAACUUUUUCAGGGUUCAUUGAUACUCCAUGCCUUGAUAUGAUAUAUCUUAGAAAGCUAGUCUACUCGAGCCAGAACCCACACUUACUCAACUUUACAUACAGUUUCUUCUCCUUGAGAACCAGCAAAACCUGCGUCAGGUAGUGAACGUGUUCCUUUCUACUCUUUAAAUAGACUAGGAUAUCAUCAAUAAACUGAUCCAAUAAUUGUCUAAAAGCCCUGUUCAUUAAAUCUAUAAAAAUUGUUGGUGUAUUGAUUAGUCCAAAGGGCAUGACUAGAAACUCAUAAUGUUCGUACCUGAUUCUAAAAGUUAUUUUGGGAAUGUCCUCUACCCUGUUCUUUACCUAAUAGUAACCCAAAUGCAAAUCUAUUUUGGAGAAAACCUCGACACCCUGCAACUGGUCAAAAAAAUCAUCAAUUCUAGGAAGAAGUACUUGUUCUUGAUCAUACCUUGGUUCAAUCCCCUGUAGUCAAUUACACAAUCGUAAUGUCCCAUUCUCUUUUCUUACAAAUCCAACACCCCAAGGAUAUACACUAUGUCGGAUGAACUUACCGUCUUGCAAUUCAUUGAUUUGUUUCCUCAGUUCUUCCAUCUCGACACGAUUCUUGUUAUAAGAGACAACAGAGAUAAGUUGAGUGCUAUACUGAAGAUCUAUAGUGAAUUCAACUUUCCUGUGUACUGGCAGUCCGGAGAGCUCAUCAAGAAAUACAUUCAAGAAGUCUCGGACUAUUGGAAUCUCUUGAAUGCAAACUUCUUUAUUAGAUUUGCCUAUUGUAAAAAAGACAACAAAGUUAAAGCACUAUAUAAUGAAGAAAUUACCAUGAAAAAAUAAAAUUUAAAAUUUUCAUUAACUUGUAAAUAGUUAUUCGUUAGGAGAAUUGAAUACAAUUUUUUUGUGAAAACAAUCUACGGUGGCGUGGUACGACACUAGCCAGUUCAUUCCCAAGAUUACAUCAAAGUUCCCCGUGUUAAUCUUUAUCAAGUCCACACUCAAUUUUCCAUCUGCUAUAUCUAUGAUAUAACAUUUAUAUAUAACAUUUCCUAGUAGUGUCCUACUUCCAAUAAUAGAUACAAACAACAUAAAAUCAAAUCUUUCCGGUGAUAUAUUUAAGUUUUGUGUAAAAAUGUGUGAGACAAACGAAUGUGAAGCACCAAUAUCAAUCAAAACAUGUGCAAUUGUGAACUAACCAGUUCCAGCUCUAUUAGUAACUUAUAAUUAUUUUUAAAGUUUUCUAAUUUUUCACAAAAAUACAAAAUUAUACAUCAUUAAAGCUCAAUUUACUGUAACAGAGAGAAAGAUGAGGGAUUCUUACCUACAUCGGUGUUUCGAGACAUCAAGCUGUCUAUUACGCUUCCUAACGGGUACCGAGUUCCUUAAAUUUUUUUUUUAUAGAAUUCAAAACACUCGUUAGAUACAUAAAAAUACUCCAAAAAAUUAAAAAUUGAUGUCCAAAACUCAUUCCGACUAAUUUUGGGGUUCUGGCAUGACGUUGCCGUCGUGUUCCAGCGCCCACGGCGACGGUUCGCUUCGGCCUGACUAGUUUUGGUUGUAUCCUUGUAGAAAAAUAUGUUAAGGGCCUCGAUUGGCCAGAAAAUCACAAAACAAUCGAAUCUACCGGCAUGGAGGACCUCUGGGUGCAGCGGCUCCACCGAUUCUCCUUCGCAGUUGAGAUUCUUUCUUCGGCUACCCUGCACCGAAAAAGACGGUGAACACAAUGAUUGAAAGAUCACAUGAAAUGAAAAUCGAGAAGGGACUCAUAGAGGGAUUUUGAAGUUUUAGUCGUCGCGGCUCCGCCAAGUUUUGCCCACGAUUUCCAACUCACCCGCCAUCUCUCUUACUCCAAUUUAGCCACAAGGGUACUCGGAAUCAAAUUCCAAGCGGAUAGGGAGAAUUUUUAUCUUUUUUGGCGGUCCGUGGUGGCUCUGGUGCAGCGGCUGUGCGACGGAUUUGCAGUCGACCUCCUUCUCUAACAUCUAGUUCUUCUUCUCCAGCAGGGACUGACAGUUAGAGUUCAGAUUCUCGUGUGAUGCGAAAUAUUUUUAACCAUCCCGCGUUGAUUUGGAUCGUCCAUCGCGAUCGAUCCCGUUCGUCCGAUCGCGCCGAAUGAGGAAACGAAUUUGAACCGUUCAUCGUGAUCAAUAUCGAUUGUCUGGUCGCACCUCACGAAAAAAUAAAUCCGGACCGUCCACACGCGCGUGAUCGCUCUUGGACCGUCCAAUUGCAAGGCACACAGAUCACCAACGUGACCUCCCGCGUAGCACCGACGUCAGCGCACCUUACCACGUGGCGCGUUCGGGUUCGUCGAGACUACUAACUGGGCGGUCCUACGUGACCGAACUUUUUCUAUUUGCACUUUGACACUCUGUUUCUAAUUUUUCUUUCAAAAACAUUUCUAAACCCAUGUUUUCACCAAUUUUUCUUAAAAUUGUUUUUAAUAUUAUUUUUAAUUAAUUUUUUCUCAAAAUUUCAAUUAAAUAAAAAUAAAAUAAAUUAAUCAAUUAUAUUAAAUUAAUAAUUAAAAAAUAAAAACUUUAUCUCGGGUCGUUCUUCAAGCCUGGGUAUUACACAUACUCUGCCAUUACCAUACAACACUACAUCAAUGAACCACCUUGUAAGUUAUCUAAACGAGUCCUUAAAGAUUGAAUGGUAACGAAUAACAGAAAAAUAGUUAAAUCAAUUCUAAAGCAGGAAGUGCAAGAAUAUUUACCUGUAAAUUUUGAUUGGAAAGGCAACCGUGAACUAAAUCCAAUCUUCGUUUCUCUCUUGUGCCUCCUUUUGUGUUGUGAUAGUUUUUUCGUGGUUCUCAUCUCUAUAUUUCUUAAACAUAUGACUUGUAUUAGAGCUAGUUGGGAUCCAUGGGAAUUUUUGACAGUACUCGAUUCCAAGAAUCCAAGAAAAUGAAGUGAUGAAGCAAGUACAAGAUAUGGACAGGAGGUUGGAUUAGGAUAUGGGAAAUUUGAAGCAAAAACUUCGAGGAAUGAAACAAGAAUUAGGAGACAUGAAAAAAUUAUUGGCAAUGUUAGUAACACAAUGGACAACCGAACCUGAAGGAUGAUUGGAUCAUAGCAACAAAAAAAAAACAAGAAAAGUAGAAUGAGUUAAACAAGGAGAUUAAGAGUAAAGCUGGAUUUUUCAUGAUUUGAUGGGGAACAUUUUAAAGGCUGGCGAUACAAGGUGGAAAGAUACUUUGAAAUUGAUAAAAACAGCGUAGAUUUAAAGGUAAAAUUGGUUUCUUUAUUUUUGGAAGAUGGUGCACUUGAGUGGCAUCAGACCUUAACGGAAAAAUAAAGGGGUCAUGGCUUAGUUGGAAAGAAUAUAUUGAAAGCUUGGAAGUCAUCUUUGGAGAAACUGCAUACAACGACCCCAUUUAGAGCUAACCAUGUUGAGGCAGGAAGAAUCUAUAGAAAAAUACUUCAAGCAAUUUAAUAUGUUAGUGAGCCGAGUUGACCUCAUUAACGGAUAAUAAAUCAGCUUUUUCAUCAUAGGAUAGAAAAACAGAGUUGAAAGUGCUUGUGAGAGCUCCUAGCACCUUACAACAAGAACAGAGGGUUGGAAAAUUGCAAGAAUUUCUGGUUGCCAUGGACUGAAGCCUUAAAGCCUCCAUGACCAGAUACCUAUCAUAUAAAGAACAUGUUAAGUGGAGACAACCUAGUUCCACCUAUAAGAUACUUAGUACCUGGUCCCUCAUAUAAACAUUAUCCUAUAAAAAAAAAUCAGUCCCAACCCAAACCGACUGCCACUCAAGCAAAGGCCUUUAAAACAACCCACAACUAACCAAAAUUUUCAACCAACACAAAAAGCACAACUGGAUUAUUACCCACCACCCCAAAUACCAGAACUUUGAAGUUAAGCCCUCAUGCAUUGGGGGAAAAAUACUUAAAAGGAGUCGGCUACUUAUGUGAUGAGAAAUACUAUGUGGGCCACAAAUGCAAGAAUUAAAAACUGUAGAAACAGUACAUGAAGAGAAGAAGAAGAAUCAGGGAACAAUCAGAACCAGAAGGGAUAAAAGAGGCAAAAAAAAAAAGAUAAGAUAAGCAACCAUACACCUCCAUGCAUACCAUAAUGGGGAUUUACAGGCUGAAAAUUCAAUAAGCUCCAUGCGAGUUAAAGGAAGGAUAGGGAGAAGGGAAAUUCACAUGUUAAUUGAUUCAGGCAGCAGUAACAAUUUCCUUGAGGUUGCAGUUGCUAAGGAAUUAACAUAAUGUGGUCACCACCAAGCCAAUGUUAAUUCAAGUAGCCAGUGGAUACAUUAUACAAUGCAGACAAUACAACAAAGACCUAUAGUAGAGUAUGCAAGGAGAGAAGUAUCAGGCAACUUCUUUUAUUGUACCACUCGGAGGAGACAAAGCUGUGUUAGAAAUCAGUGAUUAACCAAACUGGAUGAUAUAGUUUGUAUCUCUAAGCAGCUAACAAUGAUACAUAAGAAAGAAGAACAGUGGGAAAGGCUUGAAGGAGAAAAGGAAACAACAAUCAAACAGGUCUUUGAAGUAAAGAUGAUGAAAUUAAUAAGAGGUCUACUAGCUCAGUUAUGGAGCAUUAAAACCAAUUUCACCACUGGCAGACUCGCCUAUGAAAUCCAUAGUCAACCACAACAUUUUUAACUCAAGUACAGCUGAUCCUCGAUCAGUUUGAAGAUGUUUUUGAUACUUCAACCAUCCUACUUCUACAUUGCAACCAUGACCAUCAAAUCUGACUUACAAAUCCUAACAAGACAGUAAACAUAAGGCCCUACAAGCACUCCAAAGAGUAGAAAGAUGUUAUUGAAUAGAUGGUGAGGAGUACUAGAAUCAGGGAAAGAGAGACUGGAAUAAACGGACAACAUAAAACCUAUUACAUGGGUAGCAAAAGAUUCAUCAGAAAUCAUGGCAGCAUUAAACCCCUUAGUAAUAUGCUCAAAGAAGGACACUUCAAAUGGAAAGAUGCAGCAGUUCGAGCAUUUGAAGAAUUGAAGGACAAAAUUACCAUAGUACCAAUUCUGACGCUUCCCAACUUUAAUGAACAGUUUGUGGUCAAAACAGAUGUCUCUUAAGAAGGCAUGGGAGCACUGUUAACGCAAAAGGCCACACCAUAGCUUUUAUCAGCUAAGCUUUUCAGGUUGAACACUUUUAUUAUUUGUUUAUAAAAAAAGAACUCAUGGCUCUUGUCUUUGCAGUUUCCAAGUGGCAACAUUACUUGAUGGGUAGGAAAUUCCUUGUCCUAACAAAUCGUUAUAACCUUAAAUAUCUAGUCCAGAGAAUGACAACUAUAACACAGCUCCGGUGGCUAUCCAAAUUUAUGGGCUUUGACUAUGAAAUUGCAUAGAAAAGGGAAAAUAAAAUAAGGUGGCAGAUGCACUUUUCUUGGAAACUCUUCAUGGAGAUAAAGCAAACAAAUUUCCCUAUUCACAACAAAAUUAAUUCAAGAGGUUCAACCAAGUUACCAAGAAGAUUUGGUAGUACAAAGAAUCCUGACCAAGCUGAACCAAGAACAAACCGGCCAGUCUUCAUUCAUUAUGCAAGAUGGAAUUUUAUGGAAGAAAGGCUGCCUGGUAAUCAGCUCUAAUAUGGCACUUCUGAACAAAAUCAUCAAUUAGUUUCACACGAAGCCAGUGGUUACUCACUCAGGGGUUCAAGCUACCUUUAAAAGAGUAUCUUUACUCUUUUUAUUGGAGGGGCAUGGAAAAGGACAUGCACAACUGCAUUUGCAAUGUGAUACUGGUCAAUGUUAUGAGACAAUUGCUGCCAUAACCUUUACGGUUACAGCAAUUACAAAUCCUUCGCAGUCCCAAGUCAGGAGUUUCCAUGGACUUUAUUGAGGGGUUUCCUCAAUCACAUGGGAAGAAUUCCAUCGAGGUAGCUGUUGACGGACUCACCAAAUAUUCCAAUUUCAUAGCCCUCACACACCUUUAUUCAGUUCACACAGUGGCCAAGAUCUUCAUGGACACUAUUUUUUGCCUCAUGGGUGUCUAGAAACGAUAGUCAGUGACCGAGACAAUAUUUUCAUCAGCACUUUUUGGCAAGAGUUGUUCUAGCUUCAAGGAGUGGAACUUGCUACUCCCACUGCACACCAUCCAUAAAUGGAUGACCAAACAGAAGUUGUAAAUCGAUGCUUGAAAACAUAUUUGAGGUGUACGUAACAUGAACAGCCUUCCAACCGGUCCCAAUGGCCCCUGAUAGCAUAAUAUUAGUACAAUACCAAUUUUCAACCUCUAUACAAACUGCACCUUUUGAAGCUCUAUACGGGUAUUUGCCACCUGUACAUGUUCCUUAGGUAUCGGACAACUCUAUUACACACAGCUUGGAAACAUUUCUACAAGAAAGGGAAGCUACUCUACAGCUUCUCAAAUUCCAUCUAUCAAGGGGACAACAAAGGAUGAAACAACAAAUUGACAAACGUCGCACAGAUAGGGAAUUUCAACUGGGGGACCACGUCUACUUGAAGAUUCAACUUUACUGACAGUAAACCAUAGCCCUUUGAUCUAAUUCAAAGCUUGACUCCAUUUACAAAGUGUCCCUUCUUAAUCCUCUAUAAAGUGGGCAAGGUUGCUUACAUGUUCCAACUGUCGCAGGGUAGCAAGCGUCACCUCGUAUUCUAUGCGUCAUAACUUAAAACGCAUCCUUGCCAGUUUCCUUAUCACAGAUUAACAAGCCUACGGUGAAGCUCCAAAUCCAAUGGUCAGGCGGUCACAGUCCUACUUAGGAAGAUGCAGGUCACGUAAACCCAAAUUUUCCAGGAUUUUCCCUCAAGGACAAGGGACUGUAAAGAGGAGCUAUGAUAUGUUUAAAAUAGCUAGGGUUUCAAUUUAGGGAUUCGAUUGGGUAAUUAGGAAUUGAAUUUAAAUGAUUGCUACCAUUAGGGAUUAGACCGUAAGAAAUAACAAAAGAAUAGUUAAAUCAGUCGUAAAGCAGGAAGUGCAAGAAUGAAUACCUGUAAAUUCCAAUUGAAAUGGCAACCAUGAACGGAACAUAAUCUUUGUUUUUUCUCUCGCGUCUCUCUCUGUGUUGUAAUAAUACUUUUGUGAGUCUCUCUCUAUGUUUCUUAAAUGUAUUAUUUUAUUUUUUAAAUGCGAACUAACCGGGAAUAUAUUGCGACAAAUUGAUGCAAAUAUGGUGAAUGAAGGAAGCUGUUGUUUUUGAGCGAAGAGUGGGAGCGGUUAUUCUCUAAAGCACCCAUAAGUUGUGAACUUGGAUGAAGUAUUCUUCAGCAGCUGUGAAGACCCUUACAAAUCCCUUAUAUAGGCAGAAUUUAUUGCAUAAACUAAGAUUUACGGCUCAAGAAAUUUGUCUAAUCUACAUAUGGAGCAAAAUUACAGCACUGACAUUUUUUGUUGAGAAUUAAGCAGCAAUUGCAAUUUUUCCCAAUUCGGUGGUUUAUGGGAAAAUUAAACCUUUUAAUUUGUUUACAAAACCACUUCCCCCUUACAGGUUCGAGCUUUUAAG